GUUUCCUAGGAAUCUGGGGACUGAUUCGGUUGCUCCUCUGAACUUGAUCUAUCGGCUAAUACUUUUGUUUUUGUUUUUGUUUUGGAGGAGAAAGGUCCAGAUUCUAAGUUCCACCCCUAGAUAGGUGUAAAGCAGUUGUGCCUUUCUGCUUUGCCUUUAAUCAGAUGUAAAUGAACCUGCCGUCAACCCACCCCGUGGGCUUUUUGUGCAAUUAAGUGCACUUUGGGAGGCCACCUCUGCAAGCUCUGAGAUUUCAGAGGGACCUACAGAGUCAACAUUACAUCUGUAGGAGCAUGUAUCCAAUCACCAAGGCCAUCAGGAAUGUACUGCAAGCGGAAAAUCUAAGAAUGAAAUAAGAAUCAACUUGAAUUUGCUGUUUUGGGGAAACUUCACCAGCAAUUUAGCCAAGCAAAUGCAGCUAUACAUGAAAUAAGUUGUAAUCGGCAUGGCCUGACCUGAUGCUCCUUACAUGAACAAACUUCUACAUUUCCUGGUUUGUUGUGCUGAAUAAAUGAGGUAAUGCAAAUGUGAGACUG